AGCGGGGCCCAUCCCGUAAGGCUAAAUACUCCCGAGAGACCGAUAGCGAACCAGUACUGUGAAGGAAAGGUGAAAAGAACCUCGAACAGAGGAGUGAAACAGACCCUGAAACCAUGCGCCUACAAGCGGUCGGAGCAUGUUAAAGUGUGACGGCGUGCCUUUUGCAUAAUGAACCUACGAGUUACUCUCGCUGGCAAGGUUAAGCGAUUCAGUCGCGCAGCCGAAGCGAAAGCAAGUCCGAACAAGGCGUACAGUCAGCGGGAGUAGACGCGAAACCAAGUGAUCUACCCUUGGUCAGGUUGAAGGUUGGGUAACACCAACUGGAGGACCGCACCGAUAAGCGUUGAAAAGCUUACGGAUGAACUGAGGGUAGGAGUGAAAGGCCAAUCAAACUUGGAGAUAGCUCGUACUCCCCGAAAUGCAUUUAGGUGCAGCCUCGAAGCAGAGUGAUAGAGGUAGAGCGACUGAUAAGAUGCGAGGGCUUCACCGCCUAUCAAGUCUUGACAAACUCCGAAUACUAUCACUUGGUCUUCGGGAGUGAGGGCAUGGGUGCUAAGGUCCAUGUCCGAAAGAGGAACAACUCAGACCACCGGCUAAGGUCCCGAAAUAAGGGCUAAGUUGAACAAACGAAGUAAAACUGCAAAGACAGCUAGGAUGUUGGCUUGGAAGCAGCCAUUCAUUUAAAGAGUGCGUAACAGCUCACUAGUCGAGGAGUUUUGCAUGGAUAAUAAUCGGGCAUAAGCCCUUUACCGAAGCUGUGGAUGUCGCAAGACAUGGUAGGGGAGCAUUCCGGCGGCGACGAAGGCCGUCCUCGAGGACGACUGGAGCUCCCGGAAAAGCAAAUGUAGGUAUAAGUAACGAUAAAGGGGGCGCGAAACCCCCUCGCCAUAAGACUAAGGAUUCCUGAUCAACGCUAAUCGGAUCAGGGUAAGUCGGGCCCUAAGGCGCAGCCGAACGGCGCAGCCGAUGGAAGAAACGGUAAAGAUUCCGUUACUGGAUAUAGGAGCGAUGUGGAGACGGAGAAGUGACACACCCGCCUGCCGACGGAAGCGCAGGUUAAAGGAAGUAGGUAAACGCCGGGCAGGCAAAUCCGCCCAGCGUGCCGAAGCUGACAGUAUCGAGAGCCCCCGGGCAAUCGAAUAGCGGUGGUAACCAGGCUCCCAAGAAAAUCCGCUAAGCAUAUUCUAUAUCCACCCGUACCCCAAACGGACACACGUAGUCGGGUAGAAUAUACCAAGGCGCUCGAAAGACUCACGGUUAAGGAACUAGGCAAAUUGACCCUGUAACCUCGGGAAAAAGGGUCCCCAGUAAGAUGGGGCGCAGAGAAUAGGUCCAGGCAACUGUUUAACAAAAACACAGGGCUGUGCAAAAUUUGAAGAUGAAGUAUACAGCCUGACACCUGCCCGGUGCCGGAAGGUUAAGAGGAGAGCUAAUCGCAAGAGAAGGCUUGAAUUGAAGCCCCGGUAAACGGCGGCCGUAACUAUAACGGUCCUAAGGUAGCGAAAUUCCUUGUCGGGUAAGUUC
rnacentral:rRNA from 1 species